rnacentral:pre_miRNA from 1 species
AGUGGAAUUGCUGGGUCAUAUGGUAGCUAGAUUUUAACUUUUUGAGGAUUUUCCAGACUGUUUUCCAAAGUGCUUGCACCAUUUUAUAUUCCCAUCAGUAAU